UACGUAGGGUGCAAGCGUUAAUCGGAAUUACUGGGCGUAAAGCGUGCGCAGGCGGUUUUGUAAGUCUGUCGUGAAAGCCCCGGGCUUAACCUGGGAAUUGCGAUGGAGACUGCAAGGCUUGAAUCUGGCAGAGGGGGGUAGAAUUCCACGUGUAGCAGUGAAAUGCGUAGAGAUGUGGAGGAACACCGAUGGCGAAGGCAGCCCCCUGGGUCAAGAUUGACGCUCAUGCGCGAAAGCGUGGGGAGCAAACAGG
rnacentral:rRNA from 1 species